rnacentral:rRNA from 1 species
AUAUAUCGGAACAUGUCCGGAAGUGGGGGAUAACGUACCGAAAGGUACGCUAAUACCGCAUAUGCCCUGAGGGGGAAAGGAGGGGAUCGCAAGACCUUUCGCUUUCGGAGUGGCCGAUAUCGGAUUAGCUAGUUGGUGAGGUAAAGGCUCACCAAGGCGACGAUCCGUAGCUGGUCUGAGAGGACGACCAGCCACACUGGAACUGAGACACGGUCCAGACUCCUACGGGAGGCAGCAGUGGGGAAUUUUGGACAAUGGGGGCAACCCUGAUCCAGCCAUGCCGCGUGAGUGAAGAAGGCCUUCGGGUUGUAAAGCUCUUUCAGACGGAAAGAAACGGUUACGGCUAAUACCCGUGACUAAUGACGGUACCGUCAGAAGAAGCACCGGCUAACUACGUGCCAGCAGCCGCGGUAAUACGUAGGGUGCGAGCGUUAAUCGGAAUUACUGGGCGUAAAGCGUGCGCAGGCGGUUUUGUAAGACAGACGUGAAAUCCCCGGGCUUAACCUGGGAACUGCGUUUGUGACUGCAAGACUAGAGUACGGCAGAGGGGGGUAGAAUUCCACGUGUAGCAGUGAAAUGCGUAGAUAUGUGGAGGAAUACCGAUGGCGAAGGCAGCCCCCUGGGUCGAUACUGACGCUCAUGCACGAAAGCGUGGGGAGCAAACAGGAUUAGAUACCCUGGUAGUCCACGCCCUAAACGAUGUCA